rnacentral:rRNA from 1 species
UACGGAGGGGGCUAGCGUUGUUCGGAAUUACUGGGCGUAAAGCGCGUGUAGGCGGCCCUGUAAGUCGGGUGUGAAAUCCCACGGCUCAACCGUGGAAGUGCAUUCGAAACUACAGGGCUAGAGUUCUGGAGAGGAAGGUGGAAUGCUUGGUGUAGAGGUGAAAUUCGUAGAUAUCAAGCGGAACACCGGUGGCGAAGGCGGCCUUCUGGACAGUAACUGACGCUGAGACGCGAAAGCGUGGGGAGCAAACAGG